UAGGGAAUCUUCCGCAAUGGACGCAAGUCUGACGGAGCAACGCCGCGUGAGUGAAGAAGGAUUUCGGUUCGUAAAACUCUGUCGUUAGAUAAGAACAGCGCAUAGAGUAACUGUUAUGCGUGUGACGGUAUCUAACCAGAAAGCCACGGCUAACUACGUGCCAGCAGCCGCGGUAAUACGUAGGUGGCAAGCGUUGUCCGGAUUUAUUGGGCGUAAAGAGCUUGUAGGCGGUUCGUCGCGUCUGGUGUGAAAGCCCAUCGCUUAACGGUGGGUUUGCGCCGGGUACGGGCGGGCUAGAGUGCAGUAGGGGAGACUGGAAUUCUCGGUGUAACGGUGGAAUGUGUAGAUAUCGGGAAGAACACCAAUGGCGAAGGCAGGUCUCUGGGCUGUUACUGACGCUGAGAAGCGAAAGCGUGGGGAGCGAACAGG
rnacentral:rRNA from 1 species